CUGGAGCUCGUUUAGGCCAUGCUCUGCCUUCUGUGGGAAGACAGUGAAGCAUCACAUGGAUGUGCAGAUGCCCUCUGAAACCACAGAACAGCAGCAUGUAGGAGGAAGGACAGUGACUCAUUGCCCCAUGAAGAGUGAGUUCUGAAAAAUCAGAUGAGUGGUGCACAGGAAACAGAUGCCUGAGGGUGACCUACACGAAGAGGUGGGGCCAAAACCAAAGCUGAAACUCAGGAGCUGUGUGAACAAAGAAGAGAAAGGGAAAUUUGUCUGUGCAGCCUCAGGAGCAGGAUUAAAUCCCCACAAUCAACUUGAUGUACCCUGCAUAUGUGGAAUACCUGAAUAGACAAUGAAUCAUCCCAUAAUUGAGGCAGUGGAAUUUGGAGCAACUGUAGAACUUGGGGUUUGCUGUCUGCAACUGAUUUGUUUCUGAUUUUUAUGUUUAUCUUAGUUUAGUUUUUAGUGCUUGUUAUCA